rnacentral:rRNA from 1 species
CCUACGGGAGGCUGCAGUGGGGAAUAUUGCACAAUGGGGGAAACCCUGCUGCAGCGACGCCGCGUGAGUGAGGAAGUAUUUCGGUAUGUAAAGCUCUAUCAGCAGGGAAGAAAAUGACGGUACCUGCAUAAGAAGCCCCGGCUAACUACGUGCCAGCAGCCGCGGUAAUACGUAGGGGGCAAGCGUUAUCCGCAUUUACUAUGUGGAUAGGGAGCGUAGACGGUUAAUCAAGUCAGAAGUGAAAACCCAGGGCUCAACCUUGGGACUGCCUUUGAAACUGAGUAGCUAGAGUGCAGGAGAGGUAAGCGGAAUUCCGAGUGUAGCGGUGAAAUGCUUAGAUAUUAGGAGGAACA